UACGUAGGGUGCAAGCGUUGCUCGGAAUUAUUGGGCGUAAAGCGCACGUAGGCGGCUUAGCAAGUCCCAUGUGAAAGCCCACGGCUUAACCGUGGAAGUGCAUGGGAAACUGCUGAGCUUGAGUACUUAAGAGGAUCGCGGAAUUCCCGGUGUAGAGGUGAAAUUCGUAGAUAUCGGGAGGAACACCAGUGGCGAAGGCGGUGAUCUGGGAAGAUACUGACGCUGAGGUGCGAAAGCGUGGGGAGCAAACAGG
rnacentral:rRNA from 1 species